GGUUGAAAGAGCUAAUAGUCAAAUCUAAAAUGGAGUCGUUCUUCUCCAAAAGCAUGGUCUCGUAGAACAAAAGAAUGGCUCGGUGCCAUGUCUGAAUGACUUUGUAAAUUAUAUGGAACACAAUAUGGAGGACAGGUUGGCGUUUUAAUAAAGACAUUAAGAUGGAAGCCUGUGUAAUAACAUGUGCUUCUUUCAAGGCCAUAAAGAAGCCAAGAUUGAAAAAAAAUAGCUGAAGCUCCAGAGAUAAGUAAUAACUUGUUAUUGGAUGAGCUUGAUUUGGACCCCGCUUUUCCUAUAUUCUGAAAGGGUAUAGAAGCUUACAGUCAUGUCAUAUUCAGACUUGGUAGGAGUGUUUUAUUGAUAAGAAAAAUGUAUAAUUGUACUAACUUUCCUUUGUUCUGAGAGUGGAACCGAGAAGCACUGUGCAACGUUUGUGCUCAUUGUAGAUCUUGCCACUCCCGUCUGAUGAAUCAAUUAAAGAUUGCCAUGGUUUACCUUUAACAAUUUUAUUUGCUUUUUAAGAGACGAACUUUGACAAGGUGACACACAAGCUGGAGGAACAGUAGUGUCCAGACCCGACAUGUCGCCCGUCCAUUCCCCUCCAAAGUGCCGGUAGAACUCAGCAGGUCAGCCAUCCGUGGUGGGAAACGGAUGGAGAAGUGUUCCUAAUAUAAGCCCUCCUUGCCCCUGUCGAGGAGCAGACAAUCAACUGUACCAGCAUCUUCUCAUUCAUACUGUGCCUAAGUUAAAAUGCAAAAGUGAGCCAAGCUGCACACAGCCAACUGCUCACAGUACCAACUGGCUGCCACUGGCCCAAAAACCUAAAGUCAUUUUUAAAAAUAAUUUUAAGUAAAACCUG